rnacentral:rRNA from 1 species
CGUAGGGACCAAGCGUUGUUCGGAUUUACUGGGCGUAAAGGGCGCGUAGGCGGCAAUUCAAGUCAUCUGUGAAAUCUCCGGGCUUAACCCGGAACGGCCAGGUGAUACUGCUUUGCUAGAGUGCGGAAGGGGCAAUCGGAAUUCUUGGUGUAGCGGUGAAAUGCGUAGAUAUCAAGAGGAACACCUGAGGUGAAGACGGGUUGCUGGGCCGACACUGACGCUGACAGCGCGAAAGCCAGGGGAGCAAACGGGAUUAGAUACCCCGGUAGUCCUGGCCCUAAACGAUGAAUACUUGGUGUCUGGAGUUAUUAGUGCUCCGGGUGCCGUCGCUAACGUUUUUAGUAUUCCGCCUGGGGAGUACGCUCGCAAGAGUG